CAAGUCUCACAAAAAGAGAUGGAAUGUGUUGAUGAUAGCGAAAAGACACAUCAAAGAAUAAAAGAAGAUGGUCUAACCUUGCUAGGGAUAGUUGGUUUGAAGGAUCCAUGUCGCCCAGGUGUCAAAAAAGCUGUGGAAGCUUGUAAAUCUGCAGGGGUGGGCAUCAAAAUGAUUACUGGAGACAAUAUUUUCACAGCAAAAGCUAUAGCUGCAGAAUGUGGAAUUCUAGGAGCAGAUUACAAUGAAGAAAGUGGACAAGCUAUAGAAGGUAUUGAAUUUCGAAAUUACACACCUGAAGAGAGAAUGGAGAAGAUCGGGAAGAUCAAGGUGAUGGCAAGGUCCUCUCCAUUUGACAAGCUUCUGAUGGUACAGUGCUUGAAACAGAAAGGUGAUGUAGUUGCGGUCACAGGUGAUGGCACUAAUGAUGCUCUUGCGCUAAAAGAAGCCGAUAUUGGACUUUCGAUGGGCAUUCAAGGCACUGAGGUGGCAAAGGAGAGCUCAGACAUUGUCAUAUUGGAUGAUAAUUUCAGCUCAGUUGCCACAGUUUUAAGAUGGGGAAGAUGUGUAUAUAACAACAUACAGAAAUUCAUUCAAUUUCAGCUUACCGUUAAUGUUGCUGCUCUUGUAAUUAACUUCAUUGCAGCAGUUUCUGCUGGUGAGGUUCCCUUGACAGCCGUUCAAUUGCUGUGGGUAAACCUCAUCAUGGACACCUUAGGUGCUCUAGCCCUUGCAACAGAUAGGCCCACCAAGGAAC
rnacentral:lncRNA from 1 species